AGUAUCGCGUAGGGAUCUGUCGUUGGGUGGGGGAUAACCGCGGGAAACUGCGGCUAAGACCGCAUGACGCCUGCGGGCCAAAGGCUGAGAGGCCGCCUGAUGAGGAGCCUGCGUCCGAUUAGCUAGUAGGUUGGGUAAUGGCUGACCUAGGCUGUGAUCGGUAGCUGGUCUGAGAGGAUGAUCAGCCACACUGGGACUGAGACACGGCCCAG
rnacentral:rRNA from 1 species